GCCGGCUUAGCUCAGUUGGUAGAGCAAUGGUUUUGUAAACCAAAGGUCGGGGGUUCGAUUCCUCUAGCCGGCU
rnacentral:tRNA from 1 species